AUUUUUUACUGCUAGUAUAGUAGUAUUUUGUUGGAGACCGUGGGGGCGGGCCGGCCCUCAAAGCCCUAUAAAAUCGGCUCCUCUGCGCCGUAACGUAUAUAAAAAAUCGCUCACCCGAAUGGAGGACGCCCAGCUCCGCUCCAAUAGUAGCAAUUAGCCAUAGCCAUAGCGGCCCUGGCGAUCUCUUUCUGAAAGUCUCGAUACUCCAUUUCUAAAUCUUCUCCCUCUCCCAUCCUGACAAAAAAAAGCAGCAGCAGCAUGGAUCCAGAAACAACCGACCUUCCUACUCCAUGUACAUCUUCCGCAGCGGUCGUUGAUCGUCUUCGCCGGUCCCUCUCCUCAUGCUCCCAGUUGAUUCAAACCGGCGUUGAUUUCCGCAAGUCCGAGCAAUCUUUGUCGGACCUCGUUCUUUUCCUCAACUCCAUCUCCGACUCUUUUGUCAGGGAACCAGAAAACCAAGACUUGGAGAAUGCCUCUUUUCAAAUUCUCACUGAAAUUCGUCUCUUCAUUACCUCUUCUUCAGUGGACCAGCAGGCUGUUAUUGACGCUCUAUCAUUUGAGUUGCCAAAGACCGCUGCUAGGUUCGCCUGUGUAUCUCCAAGAUGUAUGGAGGUUGCUCAAUCCAUUGUGGAUUGUUUUACUGACAAGUGUAGUCCUCGCGAUAUGCUUUCCAUUCUCUGUGAGGCAAUAGGUUCUCCUAGGGAUGCGUUCACGGUGCCAAGUUAUUUCGCUCCUCUACUAAGUGGCUUUCCAAAAGUUUUUGUUUCAAUAAGGAGGAGGCAAUUUGAGCAAGUAAAAGCUGCAGUUCCCGUUAUUCUUAAUGCUUUGAAGGCAAUAGUACUAGAUUCAGAUGAUAAGGAUGCAGAUCUUGGCGAUAUUUUCCACAAAGCAAAUUGCAUUGCUGAUUCUAUGAAAGCAGUUUGUCUAGAGUUGGAAGGCAAGGACAAUGAGAAACUCUGUGCGUUAUUGGGCCUAUUUGUCUUGCAGAUCACGGCCCUUGCUUCAAUGGGCAUUGAAUAUAGGCUUGCACACUCUUCUCCUUUGGUGCUAAAGCUGUCACACUUCCUUCAGUCUUGUGGUUUAUCAUAUCUUGGUUUGAUAAUGGGGACAGAUGUUGAAAAACUUUUGGGCAUUGCUGUGGGAGAUGGUGGAGAUGAUUUGGUGGGUUGUUUCUCUGACAUCUGGCUUGGCGCGUCAAUUUUAGUAAUUUGGGGUUACAAGUCAAAUGAGGUUGCUUUGGCUGCUGGGGCAGAUUUGGUGGCACUCAAGGACGAACUUCAAAGUAGCCGGAUUAAAAGAUGGCAUGCAGUGGGCAUGUUAAAGCAUGUACUAUUGUGCUUAUAUCUGCCAUUGGAGUUGAAGAAGGAUGCCAUUAACUUCCUGCUAAGCAUUAUGUAUGCAAAGUUAUCCCAGAUGCCUAAUGAUGAAAAUGAAGACUACUCAACUUAUAUGCCAACUCUUUGUUCUGCUUUGCAGGCUAUUCAAGUGGUAAUUAUGUAUGCAACAGAUGUAAUCCUACGGAAGAAUGCUUUUGCAGCAUUCAAAGAGUUACUUGCAGAUUGUCCAACUUCCCUAAGAUUUGACAUUUUAAGGGCAUUAAUAAAAGAUGGCGACUCUUCUUCCAUGAUUGCAGUGCUUCUGGACUGUGUUAGGGAGGAAGUGCGCCUAGAAAGUAGCAAAAGUCCGCCUGCAAGCAAAGUCUCAAAAGCAGAAAGCGAAGGCUCUCAAGGCACUAUUUUUUGGAGUUCGAGUGCCCUUGAAUUGGUGGAGCUGGUUUUGAGGCCUCCAGGGGGAGGGCCUCCAUCGCUUCCAGAGCACAGUGAUGCAGUACUGCAGAACAGACCCAACCAAUCAACCAACAUACAUUGGUUGAUUAUGCUGCCUUCAAACUCAGUUCACAAAGUCCAUGAUCAAAAGUACUUCUAUGCCACUUGUCAAAAAUCUGACCAGAUACAUUUUUCUUGCUUCUCUUUCAUGCAGGUUCUUUCUGCUCUCAAUCUCUACAGAUUCAUUUUGAUCAAGGAAUCGACUGGUCAGAUAUGACACAAGCUGAGAAGGUGAUUUGAAGAACAAGCAUCAGUCACCUUGGAAAAAAAAAUCCAAUGAAGCCACGUACUAUUGUGCUGUUGUGGUGGAAUUCAUCCCAGCUUCAAAAAGGAAUGUGAAAAAGAACCCUUUAAUGCCUAGAAUCAAAUUUCACACGAGUGCCCAUAUUCUGCAAUUGAUAGCACAACAAAACAUGAACAUCUCUUCUAGACACCUGAAACAGGAAAAAGCAACAAUUCCGGGGUGCUUUCCAGGGACAGCCUGGUGAAGGCUCACAGUGAAUGGCUUCUGCCUCUCCGGACUUUAGUGACAAGAAUGAUGGCUGAAGCUCAAUGUGACAGUGACGAACUAGCACUGUGUGGCUUGAAUCCGGUCGAGGUUGUCUUGUAUCGUUGUAUCGAACUUGUUGAACAACUUCUGUAGAGCGUGUCGCGAA